AAUAGAUACCCGGGUAGUCCACCCCGUAAACGUUGGGAACUAGUUGUGGGGUCCUUUCCACGGAUUCCGUGACGCAGCUAACGCAUUAAGUUCCCCGCCUGGGGAGUACGGCCGCAAGGCUAAAACUCAAAGGAAUUGACGGGGACCCGCACAAGCGGCGGAGCAUGCAGAUUAAUUCGAUGCAACGCGAAGAACCUUACCAAGGCUUGACAUACACCAGAACACCCUAGAAAUAGGGGACUCUUUGGACACUGGUGAACAGGUGGUGCAUGGUUGUCGUCAGCUCGUGUCGUGAGAUGUUGGGUUAAGUCCCGCAACGAGCGCAACCCUCGUUCUAUGUUGCCAGCACGUAAUGGUGGGAACUCAUGGGAUACUGCCGGGGUCAACUCGGAGGAAGGUGGGGAUGACGUCAAAUCAUCAUGCCCCUUAUGUCUUGGGCUUCACGCAUGCUACAAUGGCCGGUACAAAGGGCUGCAAUACCGUGAGGUGGAGCGAAUCCCAAAAAGCCGGUCCCAGUUCGGAUUGAGGUCUGCAACUCGACCUC
rnacentral:rRNA from 1 species